CAGCCGCCACGGGAAUACAGAGGGUGCGAGCGUUAAUCGGAUUUACUGGGCGUAAAGCGUGCGUAGGCGGCUUCUUAAGUCGGAUGUGAAAUCCCUGAGCUUAACUUAGGAAUUGCAUUCGAUACUGGGAAGCUAGAGUAUGGGAGAGGAUGGUAGAAUUCCAGGUGUAGCAGUGAAAUGCGUAGAGAUCGGAAGGAACAUCUGUGGCGAAGGCGACUAUCUGGGCCAACACUGACACUGAGGCACGAAAGCGUGGGGAGCAAACGGGAUUAGAUACCCCUGUAGUCCCUGUCUCUUAUAC
rnacentral:rRNA from 1 species